AUACGGAGGGUGCAAGCGUUACUCGGAAUCACUGGGCGUAAAGCGCGCGCAGGCGGCUUGAUAAGUUGGAUGUGAAAGCCUACGGCUCAACCGUAGAACUGCAUCCAAAACUGUCAAGCUAGAGUCUGGGAGGGGAAGAUGGAAUUAGUUGUGUAGGGGUAAAAUCCGUAGAGAUAACUAGGAAUACCAAAAGCGAAGGCAAUCUUCUGGAACACUACUGACGCUGAGGCGCGAAGGCGUGGAGAGCAAACAGGAUUAGGUACCCCGGUAGUCC
rnacentral:rRNA from 1 species